rnacentral:rRNA from 1 species
GUGAGGAAUUUUCCGCAAUGGGCGAAAGCCUGACGGAGCAAUGCCGCGUGAAGGAUGAAGGCCUAUGGGUUGUAAACUUCUUUUCUCAGAAAAGAAUUAUGACGGUAUCUGAGGAAUAGGCAUCGGCUAACUCUGUGCCAGCAGCCGCGGUAAGACAGAGGAUGCAAGCGUUAUCCGGAAUGAUUGGGCGUAAAGCGUCUGUAGGUUGUUUAAAAAGUAUUCUGUCAAAGAUUAGGGCUUAACCCUAGAUAGGCAGAAUAAACUUUUAAGCUAGAGUUUGGUAGAGGCAGAGGGAAUUCCCGGUGGAGCGGUGAAAUGCGUAGAUAUCGGGAGGAACACCAAAGGCGAAGGCACUCUGCUGGGCCAAUACUAACACUGAGAGACGAAAGCGAGGGGAGCAAAUGGGAUUAGAAACCCGUGUAGUCC